rnacentral:rRNA from 1 species
CAAAUGAGCGGGAAGUGAAUUUGGAAGAAGGCGAGAAAAGCUGUGUGAAUAGAAGAUAGAGCCCGUGCCGCAAACCGACACAGGUAGAUAGGAAGAAGAUUCUAAGACCAACGGGAGAAGGGUUGUUAAGGAACUCGGCAAGUUGACCCCGUAACUUAGGGAGAAGGGGUGCUCUUUAAGGAGAGCCGCAGAGAAUAGGCCCAAGCGACUGUUUAGCAAAAACACAGCUCUAUGCUAAAUCGAAAGAUGACGUAUAUGGGGUGACACCUGCCCGGUGCCGGAAGGUUAAGAGGAGGAGUGAGAGCUCUGAAUUGAAGCCCCGGUAAACGGCGGCCGUAACAAUAACGGUCCUAAGGUAGCGAAAUUCCUUGUCAGGUAAGUUCUGACCCGCACGAAUGGUGUAACGAUUUGGGCACUGUCUCAACAACCUGCCCGGCGAAAUUGUAGUACCGGUGAAGAUGCCGGUUACCCGCGACUAGACGGAAAGACCCCAUGGAGCUUUACUGCAGCUUAGUAUUGAAUUUCGGUAUUUCAUGUACAGGAUAGGAGGGAGACAGGGAACCAUAGGCGUCAGCUUAUGGGGAGUCGACCUUGGGAUACCACUCUUGAGGUGCUGGAAUUCUAACCUGUGGCUCUGAAUCGAGUCAGGGGACAUUGUUAGGCGGGCAGUUUGACUGGGGCGGUCGCCUCCAAAAAGGUAACGGAGGCGCUCAAAGGUUCGCUCAGCAUGGAUGAAAACCAUGCUUUUGAGUGUAAACGCAAAAGCGAGCCUAACUGCGAGACUGACGGGUCGAGCAGUAACGAAAGUUGGAGUUAGUGAUCCGGCGGUAUGUGAGUGGAAAUGCCGUCGCUCAACGGAUAAAAGCUACCCUGGGGAUAACAGGCUGAUCUCCCCCAAGAGUCCACAUCGACGGGGAGGUUUGGCACCUCGAUGUCGGCUCAUCGCAUCCUGGGGCUGAAUUCGGUCCCAAGGGUUUGGCUGUUCGCCAAUUAAAGCGGUACGCGAGCUGGGUUCAGAACGUCGUGUGACAGUUCGGUCCCUAUCUGUCGUGGGCGUAGGAUAUUUGAAAGGAGCUGUCCCUAGUACGAGAGGAUCGGGAUGGACGCACCGCUGGUGCACCAGUUGUCAUGCCAAUGGCACAGCUGGGCAGCUAUGUGCGGAACGGAUAAACGCUGAAGGCAUCUAAGCGUGAAGCCGACCUUAAGAUAAGAUAUCCCUUCGUAAGAGUAAGACCUCUCAUAGACUAUGAGUUUGAUAGGCCUAAGGUGUAAGCACAGUGAUGUGUUCAGCCUGCAGGUACUAAUCGGUCGAGGGCUUUUUCA